CUUCCGGCAGGACUGACCCUAAGCAUACAGCCAAGAGCUGCACUGGAAUGGCUUAAGGCAAAGAAAGUUAAUGUCUUAGAAUGGCCCAGUCAAAGCCCAGACCUUAAACCAAUUGAGAAUCUGUGGGGUGCUGUAAAGAGGG